rnacentral:rRNA from 1 species
UUUGCCUACGGGGCGCAGCAGUGGGGGAUAUUGCACAAUGGGGGGAACCCUGAUGCAGCGACGCCGCGUGGGUGAAGAAGCGCCUCGGCGCGUAAAGCCUUGUCAGCAGGGAAGAAAAUGACGGCACCUGAAGAAGAAGCCCCGGCUAACUACGUGCCAGCAGCCGCGGUAAUACGUAGGGGGCGAGCGUUAUCCGGAUUCACUGGGUGUAAAGGGAGCGUAGACGGCCAUGCAAGCCAGGG